rnacentral:rRNA from 1 species
UACAGAGGGUGCGAGCGUUAAUCGGAAUUACUGGGCGUAAAGCGUGCGUAGACGGUCUAUUAUAUCGGGUGUGAAAGCCCCGGGCUCAACCUGGGAAUUGCAUUCGAGACUGAAUAGCUAGGGUACGGUAGAGGGAAGUGGAAUUUCCGGUGUAGCGGUGAAAUGCGUAGAUAUCGGAAGGAACAUCAGUGGCGAAAGCGACUUCCUGGACCAGU